GCGUUGCUUGGCGGAGGAAGGGGACCCUGGUGACGUCACGCGCUGUUUGGCGGUCGGUCUGAAAUGGACGCCGACCUGAAUGCGGAUAAUCUGCGGGUUUACAGCGGGAUGGCGGCCGCCCUGGAGAAGCUAACCAGUGAAGCAACUGUUUUGGCUGAACAUCACAAGAAAAUGAAAGAGUACAAUGUCUCCUUAAAACAAUUAAACUCAAACUUUAAUCAGGUCCAGUCAAGGCUUGAACGUGUUGCAGCUAUUAAACCAGGAUUCAGCAAAGUCAAUUUAUGAGGAGAUGUCCUGUGCACAGUUUAUUUGUAAAUAUUUUCCUUUCAUCGUAUGAUUUUUAUAAACCUCAAAAACAAAUUUGCCAUAAGUGGGUUUUUUUUUGUUUGUUU